rnacentral:rRNA from 1 species
GAUGAACGCUGGCGGCGUGCCUAAUACAUGCAAGUCGAGCGAACAGACGAGGAGCUUGCUCCUCUGACGUUAGCGGCGGACGGGUGAGUAACACGUGGAUAACCUACCUAUAAGACUGGGAUAACUUCGGGAAACCGGAGCUAAUACCGGAUAACAUGUUGAACCGCAUGGUUCAACAGUGAAAGACGGUUUUGCUGUCACUUAUAGAUGGAUCCGCGUCGCAUUAGCUAGUUGGUAAGGUAACGGCUUACCAAGGCAACGAUGCGUAGCCGACCUGAGAGGGUGAUCGGCCACACUGGAACUGAGACACGGUCCAGACUCCUACGGGAGGCAGCAGUAGGGAAUCUUCCGCAAUGGGCGAAAGCCUGACGGAGCAACGCCGCGUGAGUAAAGAAGGUCUUCGGAUCGUAAAACUCUGUUAUUAGGGAAGAACAAAUGUGUAAGUAACUAUGCACGUCUUGACGGUACCUAAUCAGAAAGCCACGGCUAACUACGUG